rnacentral:rRNA from 1 species
GUUGAACGCUGGCGGAAUGCUUUACACAUGCAAGUCGAACGGCAGCACGGACUUCGGUCUGGUGGCGAGUGGCGAACGGGUGAGUAAUGUAUCGGAACGUGCCCAGUCGUGGGGGAAAACGUAGUGAAAAUUACGCUAAUACCGCAUACGAUCUAAGGAUGAAAGCGGGGGAUCGCAAGACCUCGCGCGAUUGGAGCGGCCGAUAUCAGAUUAGGUAGUUGGUGGGGUAAAGGCUCACCAAGCCAACGAUCUGUAGCUGGUCUGAGAGGACGACCAGCCACACUGGAAAUGAGACACGGUCCAGACUCCUACGGGAGGCAGCAGAGGGGAAUUUUGGACAAUGGACGCAAGUCUGAUCCAGCCAUUCCGCGUGCAGGAUGAAGGCCCUCGGGUUGUAAACUGCUUUUGUACGGAACGAAAAGGUCUCUCUUAAUACGGGGGACUCAUGACAGUACCUGGAGAAUAAGCUCCGGCUAACUCCGUGCCAGCCGCCGCCGUAA